rnacentral:tRNA from 1 species
GGUCCCAUAGCUUAAUAUUAAAGCUUUGCCUUGAAGGGGCAACGAUACAUUGUUGUGACCA